CAGUAGCUCAAUUGGAUAGAGCGACGGGUUUCUACCCCGUAGGUUGCGGGUUCGAGUCCUGCCUG
rnacentral:tRNA from 1 species